UUUAAUUUUAGCUAGCAAGAUUAUUUGGACUUAAAAGUCAAGUUAAUAAUCUUCUAACAAACAUUUUCUUCUGUCAUGUUUAAUUCAUAGUCACUAGGCAACACUGAAAUUUCCACUCAUUGCUUUUCAGUCAUCGACAGGAAAAGGAAUUACCGGUAAGUUGACAGGACUUUCCACACUGUUUCUGGUAGCAGCUUAUGAUUGAAUUGAUGGUAGAAGACGUGGCCCACUUAAUCAAAGAUAAUCUGUAUAGAGUGGCACCUUAACCACCACUGGUGAAAUAGAUGACUAGUGGAUGGUCAUCACUUUGCAGCUCACUUUCACUUUCUGCAGCCCAUCUCUUCUCAUCCACAAUCAUUGUCUUUGGAGGAAUGGUGACAGUGCAGUCCUCAUGGCUGGGCAGGUCUACUGCAUGUUGACAGCUGAUACUUGUUCUCUAUUUACUCCAAGAGGCCUACUACACAUUGUACCUCAGUUAUGACUGUACUCAUGCUGGCUUCUAUGAUGUUAAUUUCCUUUACCUGCACUGUGUUAAACUUGGUCAAUUCUGUUACUGUCGAACACCAACAGAUGAAAAUAAGAUUAAGCUGAUCCUGCCAACAUUGUGACAUAAGCGGUCCAGUGUCCAAUAUCUCACUCU